CCUACGGGUGGCAGCAGUGAGGGAUAUUGGUCAAUGGGGGAAACCCUGAACCAGCAACGCCGCGUGAGGGAAGACGGUUUUCGGAUUGUAAACCUCUGUCCUCUGUGAAGAUAAUGACGGUAGCAGAGGAGGAAGCUCCGGCUAACUACGUGCCAGCAGCCGCGGUAAUACGUAGGGAGCAAGCGUUGUCCGGAUUUACUGGGUGUAAAGGGUGCGUAGGCGGCUUUGCAAGUCAGAAGUGAAAUCCAUGGGCUUAACCCAUGAACUGCUGUUGAAACUGCAGUGCUUGAGUGGGCCAGAGGUAUGCGGAAUGCCUGGUGUAGCGGUGAAAUGCGUAGAGAUCAGGAGGAACACCAGUGGCGAAGGCGGCCUGCUGGGGUUUAACUGACGCUGAGGCACGAAAGCGUGGGUAGCAAACAGGAUUAGAUACCCGAGUAGUC
rnacentral:rRNA from 1 species